rnacentral:lncRNA from 1 species
UUAUAAAAUAAUUUAGGUGUAAAUAUGAAACAACAGUUUAUUUUUUAUUUUUGUAUGUUUAAAUAAUACGAAACAACCGUUAAGUUUGUUAAUUACUAGGCCUAUGAUGUGGAUUUGAAUUAAAUGAGAGAGAAUUAAUAAUGUUAGGAGCUUAACAUAACUCAAAACUCAGAACAACUUACUCUAAUACCAUGUGUAAUAACUUCUAUAUUCUAAAAUCUUAAAUUGAUAUAAAACGGUAUUUAAAUAUUUUUAUAUUUAAUUGAAAGUGUAUAA